UGAAUUGACGGGACCCGCACAAGCAGAGGAGCGCGUGGUUUAAUUCGACGGCAAUCGAAGAACCUUACCAGGGUUUGAAAUGUAUCUGCAUGCCCUAUGAAAAUAGGGAGGCCUUCGAGGGUGAUACACAGGUGCUGCAUGGCCGCCGUCAGCUCGUGUCGUGAGAUGUAGGGUUAAGUCCCGAAACGAGCGCAACCCCUAUUCUAUGUUACAAGUGUCUUAGAAAACCGCCUCGGUAAAACGAGGAGGAAGGUGGGGAUGACGUCUGGUCCGCAUAGCCCUUAUGUCCUGGGCUACACACGCGCUACAAUGGCCGAUACAGUAGGAAGCCAAAUCGUAAGAUGGAGCUAAUCCUUAAAGUCGGUCUCAGUUCGGAUUGAGGUCUGAAAUUCGACCUCAUGAAGUUGGAUUUGCUAGUAAUCGUAGAUCAGCAAUGCUACGGUGAAUACGUUCUCGGGUCUU
rnacentral:rRNA from 1 species